rnacentral:lncRNA from 1 species
CUGUGUUCCUUUAGCAAAUAUGUUCCUUCUACAUUAUAAUGUCAAAUUGUAGAACAUUUAUUCAUACACACACACACACACACACACAAUGGACCAAGGUGUGUACAAUAUAUACGCCUAACAUCACCACAGUCUGUUUCUUCCAUUGCCAAUGAGAGCAAUUCAGUUGUUAGGCUGCCAAGCCAUCAAGCUAUGUAAAGCUGCUAUCUCUCUGCAGCUUUUCCGAAGUAACUUUGGGAGCAUUCUAACCUCAAAGUAGAUGAAUGGAGAGGUUAAAAUAAUGAUGAAUAGUAAGGAAUGAGUUCUUAUUAAAACCUGUGACAAUACGCCAAGAUCUUGAUGGCAUCAGCUUGUCUUAAUAGAUUAAGCAAACUGAAAGGCAGGAUUUCUUAAAAUAACUUUUUGCUGUACAAUGAAGUUUCUCUUCUAUUUAUUAUUUAAACAGGAGAUGGCAAAAAGCAACAACAACACAAAUCAUAAACAGAUAGCUUCUGCACAAUAGGCAAUAAAACACUGCACUUUUUAUGUAUAGAAUUUGUUAUUUGUUACUCUUCAGAUUCCACUGCUUAUCUGCUAAAUCCCAUCAAUCAGUGAUUAUGAAGGAAUGUGAUUGCUGUUUUGCACAGCAGGACCUGUGCAUCAAGAUGUUUUCCUUUUUCUCCUCUGAACAUCCCGUGGCUACAAUUUUGAACGCUAUCCCUGUGUGGGCUUGCUGUGGACACCAGCAAUACAACAGAUCUGUUGGUGUUUGCACCAGUGUUGAGUGGUUGGGCCCUUCAUCCAAGGCUCCUAUUUUAUGCAGUGGCUAUGGAUAAAAUAGGCUGUAUUUGUGGGAAUAUGGUAGCGCUCAAGUGCAAAACUGAUAGUGACAUCUGUUUUGUCUUGCCGUGGAUGCUAUUUGUUUAGAAUGGUUGCCUAUAAAAUGUCUCUCUGUGUGUAUGUAUGUAUGUAUGUAUGUAUGUAUGAUGUGCUUACUUUUUAAAGAAAGGAAAUAAUUUAAAAUUGUUUAUUGUUUACAUCUUUGGGUGUUAUUUUGGGCUGGAUUGUUUCUAUAUGCAUAUGCUGCAGUUGACUCCAAGGGAUCCUCACACAACAGGGUUGAUGUUGCCAGCCUUCAUGCAACGUUUGCAGACAUCUUUGUAACACAGACGUGGUCUGCCAAUGGGCCUGGGGCUUGAAGCCAGCUCCCUGUAGAGCACAUCCUUGGGGAUCCUGCAAUCUUCUGUUGUAUGUACACGACCAAACCUGCAUAGACGUUGCCCAGAGAAGAAUGGGAAGAUGCUGGAAAUGUGGACUUGGGAGAGGACAUCUUUGUUUGAGACUCUGUCCUGUCAUGUGAUGCCCAAAAUCUUCCUGAUACAGUGCAUCCUAGUGGGUGUCAGUUGCCUAUGACUCACUUCCAUAAAGCAGUGUGCUCAGCAUGAAAGCCUGGUAGAACUUUACCUUGGUAUUGGACUUCAGCAUCAUAUUCUCCCAUACCCUUUUGGAGAGGUGAGCCAUUGCUGUAGCUGCCUUGCCAAUACGCUUGUCCAGCUCAGCAUUGAUGGAAAGGUUGCUGGUUAUGGUGGAGCCCAGGUAGACAAAAUUGUGUACCACUUCAAGAGUGUGGUCACCAGUGCUGAUGUGUUGGUGAUGCUCUGACCCAGGAUGUUGGUCUGCAUCAGGCUGUUGGGGCCGGACUCCAUGCAGGCUUGGGCAAAACAGUUGAUGAAUCUCUGUAGAGCUUCCUCAGAGUGUACUGCCAAGGCUGUAUCAUGUGCAAACAACAUCUCUCAGAUCAGAACCCACUACCCCUUUGUCUUGGCAUGGAGGUGUCUAUGACAAACAGUUCUUUUAAUAUGUUGUAUCCUCCCCCCCCCCCCGUGGCACUUGUCGUUCUCUAAUCUCCUGUUGAGAUAUCAAAAGCUGAUAAAUGAUGCUUUAUGUUAGAAAGUUUUUAUCCUUACAACAGCAAAGGAUCUUUUGGUUUUAAAAAAAGGAAAAGUAAGAAAAGAGCACCAUUCCUUUAUAACAUUGAGGCUACUAAUCUAAGGAUGAUGAGUCAUCUGGCCAGUAAAGGUUAAUAUUUGAAGCACAUGGUCAAGAAAACACAGCACUAGAAAUUGCUUCCUAGGGGAGGUUUAGAAGUGGGGACUUUUGAAUUUUAUAGUCCAACAAAAAUAUAAUAGUAUAGGUUUUGAUGAACGGAAAUAACAGAUGAAAUAACAUAAAGGUGCAAUAUAGCAAAAGCAAUGCACUGAAAGCAAUGGAAUGGGAUUUAGUCAGAAGUAAUUUCUGUCCCACUCAUUUUGGUGUGAGAAUCAUGACUAUAUUUCAAGGGACUGUGCCCAGAUCAUUGAAACAACUGGGGCAAUGCAUUAGUGAGGGUAAAGUGUGCUUAAAAAUGCAUAUAUUGGUGAAGAUAACAUACAUAAAUGCAUUAAUCAUGGGAAAAGGCCUUGCAAAAAUGUAUGUAUAUUGGGGAAAAUUUACAUACAAAAAUGUGUAUAUUUGAAGAAAUGCUCAUGAGGACUAUAAAAAAUCACUGUUCGUGUUCGUUUUGUGUGAGAACAGCAUUUAAGACUGGAAAAAGGAGAAUCUGAGAGACACAGAAAAUGAUAGUUUUGCCUAUACCCAGUUACUGAGCAGUAUCCAUGGGGGUGGCUGAAGUCAAAUAUGUGGAUAUAUUUUAACAGACCCUGCAAAGUGUAGCUCAAAAUCCUGAACAAUGGCAGGGAUCACUUAUUUUGCCUUUCCCAUGGCAUAUUCCUUAAACAAACGUAAACAUAGCCUGAAGUGUUAUUUAAGUCCUAUUAACAAUUCUUAAACUCCCCAGCAGGUGGAGGUACAGAUUGCUGCCUCAGUUCAUCUUCAAAGAUUACUGAACAAUCCAAGCAGGCCUGGUUCAUUUAGGCACCAUACUGAUAUGUUUGCUCACUUAUAACCUCAAAUCUGGCAACUGCAGAAGGUGUAACUACUACUUCAUGAACAGCAUGAAGACUUUAUGUUUGCACCACCAAAAUUAACCGUUAAGGAAAGUGAGUACCUACCAAACACAUUCUAAAACCAUCCAGGAAAUCGAGGAAUUUCCCCACACAAAAACCAACAUAACAGAUCCAGAAAGAGAAGCAGCCUUGCAUGCACACAGACAGCAGAGGUGACUGCAAGGGAGCACAAGAAGGGCUUACUAGAAGAUUCAAGGCUGUUACUCCCAUUUCAUAUGUUCCUUGUGCUUAUGAGUAUCCCAAACUCUCUGUCUUGGCUCCCAUCCAGACCACGCCGAAAGAGUUUCUUACUUGAAAGUUGCUAUUGCUCAUAGCUGCUGUGCUGAGACCAGAUGACAGGAGGAGUGAUGCUAACCAGGCUAAAAGCAGUAGCCCAAGUUUAAGGAGUUCAAGAUCAGGGCAAGGAGAAAAGAACUGCAAGGAAACAAUGGAGUUGUCCCAACAAGUUGGCACAAUAACCCAUCAAGCUUUUAAAGACAGGGCAAGGCUAGCUUACUUGCAAGAGAGCCAGCAUGGUGUAGUGGUUAAGAGUGGUUGACUCAUAAUCUGGUGAACUGGGUUCGCUUCCCCGCUCCUCCACAUGCAGCUGCUGGGUGACCUUGGGCCAGUCACACUUCUCUGAAGUCUCUCAGCCCCACUCACCUCACAGAGUGUUUGUUGUGGGGGAGGAAGGGAAAGGAGAAUGUUAGCCGCUUUGAGACUCCUUAGGGUAGUGAUAAAGCGGGAUAUCAAAUCCAAACUCCUCCUCCUCCUCGUGCCUUAUGAGACUGUUGAGUGUGCAGGUUCUUGUGGCACUUCAAGAGUGUGGUCACCAGUGCUGAUGUGUUGAAGACGCCUCUGCUGCCAGUGAUAGGCACGGCACUGUGUCCCAUUUUUACUCUAGUUCCUCCACCCCUAGCAGUUGGCUGAUACCCUUCCCAUAUCUCAUUACUCUGCUCCUUUCACUGGAAGACAAGAGGGGAGAUGAGAGUCCGGCUUCACCAGCUGGGGCAGCUAUAUCCUGGGAAGGGGAAUUACCCACUGUUCCCUGAUUUCAGCCACUCCCAAUCUGUGGGAUAACCAACCUCAUAUCACCAACAUGCUUAAGUCUAAUUAACACAUGAAGAAGUCAUGGAAUUGUAGAGUUGGAAGGGACCUCAAGGGUCAUCUAGUCCAAUCCUUUCAAUGCAGGAAUCUCAACUAAAGCAUUCAUGACAGAUGGCCAUCCAACCUCUGCUUAAAAAUCUCCAAGGAAGGAGAGUCCACCACAUUCUGAGAGAGUCCAUUCCAUUGUUGAACAGCUCUCACUGCCAGAUUUCUUCCUGAUGUUUCGUCGGAAUCUCUUUUCUUGUAACUUGCAGCCAUUGGUUUGGAGCCUUUCCUCCAGAGCAAGAGAAAACAAGCUUGCUCCAUCUUCCCCAAGACAGUUGUUUAGAUAUUUGAAGCCAAGUUUAACUGCCUGUGCAACUUUUUCUGAAUGCUGUAUGGAAAAGCACAUGAAUCUGACCUUUGGAGAGUUUGUAAGUAAACCAUUCUAACUUACCAGACAUAUGGUCUUUAUCUAUACUAAGGGAAGCGGAAAGUUUUGAAACCCACAAGGGCACAUUUGAAACAUCUAACAACCUAUAUUUCCACACUUUACUUUGCUGCAUGUUUUGUGAUUUAAAAUUUCUGCUAGGGUUAUUUCACCGAAGCUCGGAAAUUGGAACUCUGCAUACAGGGAAUUCUCUUUUCUAUAUGCCCUUUCCCCCUUGAACCAACACUACCAUCUUCUACCCCCCACCCCUUGUUUGUCUCAGCCAGCCACUCAAAUCCUAAGCCUGGUGACACUUCAUGACACUCUAAGGAAACCUACAGAAUGCUUGAUUUGCAGUCCUAACUUUGUUGUAUCUCUCACACCUGUGUAUUAAUUGUAACAUUAAUAUCAGAGAAAAGGAAUCUAUUUUAUUUUAUCAUUUGUGACCCACUUUGGGGGAGAUACAGUGCUUUUCCCCCAGGGGUACUUAAGGGUACACAGUACUGGCAACCCCCCCCCCCAAUUAAAAAAAGUGUGGCAUUUACUGUAACAAUUUCCUGGUGAUCACCAGCACCAAUUUUCCUUAAAAAAGAAAAAAAAGGCACUGGGGGGAGAUAUCAUUUAGGACAAAAGCUGGCAUGGGAAAGCAUUAUAAUAUAUUAUAGCUUGCAUUGGAUGUUCAUUCGUACCUGCUUCCUUGUACUCCUGAUUCCCAGGGCUGUCUGAGGCAAAGGACAAGACACCAGUUCCAUAUAUAGAAGCCAAUUAGACCACAGGGCAGUAUUCUUUAUGAUACCUGAGGCCAGCAGGCUCGCUUAGGAGGUGCAGGGCAGCCAUCUGGCACAGACUCCUCUAUCACCCAACAUCUCACCACCACUUCCUGCCCACCAGCAUCUGCCACCUGAGGCAGCUGCCUUACUCUGUCUAAUGGUAGGGCCAGACCUGCUGAGUCACACUGUAAUUGUUGGAUUGAUGUAGAAGGGAAAGCAUAUUCUCAUUCAAGUCGCUGUGCUAAUUAGG